UACGGAUUCAUUGGCACCUUUGCUUUGUGCAGUUCUAAUUUCAGUAUACAUAUUUAUUUGUCGGUUCUGCUUUCAGAUGUUCAGAUUUAGGUUUGGCUUUCAUCUACCUUGAGACCGGCCAUGACACCUGGUUUGCUGACCAAUAGCAUGGGGGCUACAUGUCGAGGAUCUGAUUAUAUGAAAUUUUGCUUAUCAGGAAUGUUAUUUUUAAUCCGCUAAAUGGUUUAGCAGUUGUGAAAUCUGAUGCUUUGAUAAGAGAGAGAGAGGGUACACAAAUUGUUGCAGGCCGAGGCACCGCCUGACACCUGGAACGGUAAAAUAUGAAUGUACUACUCAUGAAGGGAGCGUAGGUUUCUCAUACUGGAAGUUGCAGAAAAAAUUCAGGUUAUGAAUUAGGGCAGAUGUUUGGUCAAUCAAGCAGAAGAUUCUGCUAAAGUAGGUACAGUAUUUACGUCAGCCAAUGCAUCAUUUAUGCACUUCUUGUUUGUGCAGAUGGUUGGAAUGCAGGAACAGGCACUUAAAGAAGCCAUUGAGGUCUUUUACAGUAAGGGUGUCUCUGUCAGUUCGAGUGAUGAGUUACUCGCCACCUUCUAUGACAAUAUUUUGAAGAUAGGCUUCGGUGAAAAGGUUAGUGUGAUGGAAUUGUGUCUGUUCGGAUGUGCUUAUUUCUGCAUUUGAAACACUAUAAUGGUGUUUAUUUAAGAUACUUAACUUGAUAAGAAAAGGAUCCGGUUGGGCCAGUGAAAGAUUAGACCUAUGGUAGCAAUAGAGUAUGUAUUGAUUUGUCCUUUCCCCGUGGAUAUCAUAGUGUAAUAAGCUCUGGUAUAUAGCUUUUGUUUAGUGAUAUUUAUUUUCAAUACCAAUAUAUAUUCUUUGGUGCUAUCACCAUCAACCUAUUUACAACACUUGUCUUAUAUAUUCUUGCUAUUUUUUAAUGCAAUGAAGUAAUGCCAACUACAUUUUAUCAAUUCUGAUCUCAUAACACAAGCUUGGCACUUAAUGAUGCAUUAAGAUAUUGUUCGCACUACAAAAACUGUUACUAUAAUGGGAAUUGAAAAUGGAAUAAAUAAAUUGAACCUGUGUUUUCUGCUCUUAGAUAAUUAACACUUCCACCUUCAUGUUAUAACCAGAUGUUUUAUACCUUAAUUUUUUCUCAUCAGUUUUCACAACUUAAUAUAGGAGCAGGUUCUCAUAAUGUAAGAGACUAUAGAGAGAACAUAAGAAUGAAUAUUAAAACCGUUGACUUAAACAAGUCACUCCUAGCAGCAAGAAAGAUCUAAGUGUUGGCAUAUGGGGCCAUUAGCAAGGUGUCUGAACAAAUGCAAUAAUGAAUAUGUACAAUAUGAAAUAUCACUCUAUUUUGAAAUAAUAAUUACUGGUACCGAAUAUCUCAAAUAUUGGAUCUCACUAUUUUAGGAGAAUAGAUGAUAUUUUACACCGGGUGACACAAUUUAUGCCAUAAGUGUAUCAAAAACAAAGAAUGGUAGCAAUUAACCGAGCUAGCAGAAUCUUGAUAAUAGGCAGUAAGCACAUUUUCUCUCUUUGAUCUUUUGUUUUUCUAUCGGUGAAGUAGUCGCAAACUCCCAGGAAUAAUUUGUUAUCGUGUUUUAAGAGAUGUUCUUGCAGACUUCUACAUCAAUUAAUGCAAGGUAGAAACCUUUUGGUACCACUGAUAUAGCAGAGUACACAAGAUAUAAUCCCUAACAAAUAGUAAGGCUAAGCAGCCCAGGGCACCUAAUGUUCAAAUCUACACUCUUAACAGAUGAACAUAGAAACAGUAGCAUAUAUACAUGUCCGCUAGCUGGAAUACACUUCAAAAUACGAAAAAGGUCUGACGAAGCAUUUCACUAUGCAUUCUUUGUGAAUACCUCCAGCUUUAGCAAUCGCAUGUUUUCUUGCUACUCUUACACUUCAGGUCCAAUACCUGUGCUAUAGGCGUGUCUCACGGGAACAACAUAUGUUAUUUGUGUCGCGUACACAAUUAUAACUGAAGUUGUCAGGCCAGACAACACAACACAACACUACUAUAGUCAAUGAUAUCCGGUGAUAAACCUGGAUGGUAGCCAUCCGUGUCAAACAUACAAAAUAGGCUUAGCAAAUCUUCAAAAAAUGUUGGAGUAUAUAAAUCAGUUGGAAGAGCUCCACUUUUGAUUUUGGGCGAGGAGGAGACAGUAUAUAACGCAAAGGUCAACUAUAACAGCAGUGACCGGAUGACGUCAAUGUGGUUUCUUUUCCCUGUUCUUCGAACAUCAAGCAUCUGAUCCAAAACCAACAAGUAUGAUCUAGGAUUACUUACAACAACGUAUCUGCAUAAUUUACAGUAACCAAGCCAAGAGCACUUUGAGAGAACCUUAAUUAGAUGGCCAAGAAUUUGGUUCUCCUUAUUACUGUGUGGCUGACCUCUAAAUUUGUUAUCGAGAAGAGAACAUAGCUGCAGCAGAAGGCCAUGAAUUGAAUUGAAUGUAGAAGACUUUGCAUGCCGAGGUAAAUUUUCAUUUCCCGUCUUAGCUGAUACAGGAGGAUCAUACUGCAGUCGCUCAUUAGAUACCAAACCAAUCAGGGCCCUUGCUGCAAGGACACGGACCCGAUAAUUACUCCAGGGAGCACAUUUCUGAAUAAAGGGUAAAAGUAAAAAAACAGAUUUAAAGGAUCCUCACUUCCACAGCUUAUAGGUGAAGGCUUAAGCCUUGAUAAAAGAAUAAUAGGGCACAAGAUGGGGUGUAUGUAUGGCUUUUGCAAUACGUGACUCCAAAUUGCAAGAAACCCCAUCAGCUAGGAUUAUUAACUUUAUACUGGCAACUCCCGUGAGCGCAAGCUCCUCCUUGAACGGUAAAAUUAUUAAAAUAUUUGAAAAGUAAUGAUAAUCAUUUCUUUUACAAAAACUAUGUCACUUCUUUUAUCUGAAUGGAAGGCUUCAUGAAAGACAUAUAUUGUGCACUCGGAGAAAAAAUAAAGAUGGGUGCCCCGAAACUGCAAUUUUGGAAACAUAAAUAUUUUUCAGUAUAGGAUAGAAAAGUUAUCUUCACUAAAGUUUGCAUGUACACACAUGGGACAUGUGUAAUUGUUUUAGAUCAUUUUGAUAUUAAGAACUUAUUUCACUUAGGAGUGGGUGUACUAAUUUUACAUCAUUCCAAACGAAGCCUCAAUUGCGUAUAAUUACUUGAUUUUAAAGCAUACAAUUAUCUAUCGCUAGGCAUCGGCGGAUACAUAGACUGUGAGAACGGGCAGCAUGUGUGAUUCCUCGCUCCGACAACCUAGGCCAUAGAUGAGUUGUUCCAACUAUUUGUUUCUUAUAAACCAUGUCAAGGUUCAUCUUACUUUUAAUCAACAUUCUGAUCUACUUGCAUUUUGUGGUGUUUAUCCUGAGACUAAAAUGGUUAUUCCAGGUUACUUGCACUGAUAAAUGGAGAUUGCACUCCAUUUUAUGGUCUUCUUUUGUAAAGAUUGAGCCAAUAUGCCAUCUUCAAGUCAGGGUCAUUCUUGAGAGUAAUUAUGUGAAGUUAGAAGUCGGUUCGGAAGAGUAGCCGAAGUCAUAAAGGGUAGGACUUUCUGCAGCGGAAAAUAUGUUUAUAUCUAUUUUUGGAUAAGAGUGCACGUGGUUAGUAUUUCAGAUAUAUACAUUCACUAGCUACAUUGAUAUCUCUGAAGUAGAUGGAAAUCCCAGAUCAAACAUGGGUGAAGGAUCCUGAUGUCAUUGCUCUUGCAGAUUUCAUUAAAUCAAAUUUACCAACAUCAAAAUUAUUCCUUUUAUAGAUGGUCCGACUUAUGUAGAUGUUACUUUUGUUGUUCCUUGUGUAUGUUGAUCUUGACAUUGUCAUUGCGUGUUUUGCUACUAUAAUAUAUUCCUUUUGUU